UACGGGGGGAGCAAGCGUUGUUCGGAUUUACUGGGCGUAAAGGGCGCGUAGGCGGCCAGCACAAGUCAGUUGUGAAAUCUCCGGGCUUAACUCUGAAAGGUCAACUGAUACUGUGCGGCUAGAGUGCAGAAGGGGCAACUGGAAUUCUCGGUGUAGCGGUGAAAUGCGUAGAGAUCAGGAAGAACACCGGUGGCGAAGGCGCUCUGCUAGGCCGCAACUGACACUGAGGGACGAAAGCUAGGGGAGCGAAUGGG
rnacentral:rRNA from 1 species